UACGGAGGAUGCGAGCGUUAUCCGGAUUUAUUGGGUUUAAAGGGUGCGUAGGCGGACUGUUAAGUCAGCGGUAAAAGCCCGGGGCUCAACCCCGGCGAGCCGUUGAAACUGGGGGCCUUGAGUGGGCGAGAAGAAGGCGGAAUGCGCGGUGUAGCGGUGAAAUGCAUAGAUAUCGCGCAGAACUCCGAUUGCGAAGGCAGCGUACCGGCGCCACACUGACGCUGAGGCACGAAAGCGUGGGGAUCGAACAGG
rnacentral:rRNA from 1 species